rfam:Triticum aestivum genome assembly, contig: Triticum_aestivum_CS42_TGACv1_scaffold_129959_2BL
CUUAUACUCCCUCCGUCCGGAAAUACUUGUCAUCAAAAUGAAUAAAAUGGGAUGUAUUUUAGUUUUAGAUACAUCCCUUUUUGUCCAUUUUGAUGAAAAGUAUUUUCGGACGGAGGGAGUAUUUA